rnacentral:antisense_RNA from 1 species
CACCUGCCGCGGUAGUGCGACUAUAGGCGCAAAGGUUGGGAUUGGAACGGGGCUGACCACGCGUGCGGUGGGGAAGCAUGGGGCUGGCAGGUCAGGGGACUGCCGGCCCUUGAUUU